rnacentral:lncRNA from 12 species
AAGUUGAUCUUAACAAGGCUUCUGCUAUUUGAUGCUUUUCAGACUGUGUGAAGCAAUGGAUCAGAGAAAACAUGUGAAGAGACUUGAAGAUUGGACCGAUGACAAUGCAAGAACUUCCAGUGAGAAAUUUUUGACCAUCAGAAUGUCUGAGCUGUGACUGGAAGCAAUGCAACAUACAGAUGAGAAGGAUGUGUCCUUUUCCCUUCAGUGAAAUCCACUAAAGAAUUCCUCAUUAGAUACAGAAAGCAAAACAGAAAAUAAAUGCCGAGUGCUGCUUAAACUUCUAUAAAGGAUCAACAGCAUACCAGCAGGUAAUAUAAUUAUUUUCCCUAGUGAUCUAGAAAAUCUAUGAAUAUUUUAAUUUCAA